GAGGGUAUAGCUCAGUGGUAGAGUGCGUGCUAGUGUGCACGACAUCAUGGGUUCAAUCCUUGUUACCUCCA
rnacentral:tRNA from 1 species